GUCAAGUUGCCAGAGUGGUUAAUGGGUAUGACUCGAACGCUCUGUAGUGAGCAAUAAGAUAUCAUAUGGUUUCGGCCGCGUAGGUUCAAAUCCUGCACUUGACG